AGCAGAGUGUUUAUUGAUUUUCAAAAUCAAGCGCCACUUAGUUCUCAAUGUCAAUGGAUAUAUACAUUUAAUAAUGGAAUUGCAUUUUUCAUAUCAUAGAAUUAACAAAAGACUAGAACCUCAUACACCAAAUUGACAUGUAAACAACAUAAAUAAAGGCUAAACACACAAACAAUCCUUACAAAAUGUUUUACCAAAAAGCAUGGCAAUCUAUGUAUUUUGACAUGAAAGAGUUCAAUAUGCUCAUAUGGUAUUAACCGUGGAUGAAAACUACCAUACAAUUUGAAAGAACAUUAAAAAUAUUUAUGUUAAUGCAUAAAUAUACUUGGUUUUGAAAAAUUACAGCAACUAACAUAAAAUCAAGUAUAAUAAUUUUAGUAUAACAGCCAUGCACUGCUGAAGUUAUGAGAAAGAAUAGGCAAGCAAAGGAUGGUAUUGUAGUACUUGAAGAUGACAUUAACUUUAAGCAGCCAACUGGCUACAAAUGUGUUCACCCCCACCACAAUGCUCAGUAUUGCAAUAUUUAAAAUGUGUCCCAUGCACAAAGUGAAAUCGAGAACACAAUGGCUCAUGGAUAUUCAUUCUUUGCCCAAAGCUAUUCCCCUAAAUUGUAACUUAAAUAUUGAAAUCCAAUAAAUAGAUAUCCAUAAUUAUCUAUAAAACAUGAAAGAUAGCAUUUUUGAAAUCUACACCACCAUUUCAGUCCAACAAAUGCUGAUUAUUCUAUUCAAACAGGUGCAU
rnacentral:misc_RNA from 1 species